rnacentral:rRNA from 1 species
UGGGGAAUUUUCCGCAAUGGGCGAAAGCCUGACGGAGCAAGACCGCGUGAGGGAGGAAGGCUCUUGGGUUGUAAACCUCUUUUCUCAGGGAAGAACAAAAUGACGGUACCUGAGGAAUCAGCCUCGGCUAACUCCGUGCCAGCAGCCGCGGUAAUACGGAGGAGGCAAGCGUUAUCCGGAAUUAUUGGGCGUAAAGCGUCCGCAGGUGGCUCGCUCAAGUCUGCUGUCAAAGACCGGGGCUUAACUCCGGAAAGGCAGUGGAAACUGACAAGCUAGAGGGCUCUAGGGGUAGAGGGAAUUCCCGGUGUAGCGGUGAAAUGCGUAGAGAUCGGGAAGAACAUCGGUGGCGAAAAGCGCUCUACUGGAGAGCAACUGACACUCAGGGACGAAAGCUAGGGGAGCGAAUGGGAUUAGAUACCCCAGUAGUCCUAGCCGUAAACGAUGGAUACUAGGCGUGGCUCGUAUCGACCCGAGCCGUGCCGUAGCUAACGCGUUAAGUAU